rnacentral:rRNA from 1 species
GACGAACGCUGGCGGCGUGCCUAAUACAUGCAAGUCGAGCGAAGUUUUUCUGGUGCUUGCACUAGAAAAACUUAGCGGCGAACGGGUGAGUAACACGUAACGAACCUGCCUCAUAGACUGGGACAACUAUUGGAAACGAUAGCUAAUACCGGAUAACAGUAUUUCUCGCAUGAGAGAUAUUUAAAAGUUGGUUAUGCUAACACUAUGAGAUGGCUUUGCGGUGCAUUAGCUAGUUGGUGGGGUAAAGGCCCACCAAGGCGACGAUGCAUAGCCGACCUGAGAGGGUGAUCGGCCACACUGGGACUGAGACACGGCCCAGACUCCUACGGGAGGCAGCAGUAGGGAAUCUUCCGCAAUGGGCGAAAGCCUGACGGAGCAACGCCGCGUGGGUGAAGAAGGAUUUCGGUUCGUAAAGCUCUGUUGUUAGGGAAGAAUGGAUAUGUAGUAACUAUACAUGUAAGAGACGGUACCUAAACAGAAAGCCACGGCUAACUACGUG